AACAUUGUUCUGUUGAAUUUUGAAAUGCACGAAGAAGGAGACAUUUAAUUGUAAUGUAUAGUAAUCUUGAAGUGCUUAAUACCAUAGCCACAAAUUUAAAUUAAAAACACCAGUGGUACAAUUAAACACUGGUCCGGAGCUACUUCAAACAACAUGCCACUAGAGUGCUAUCUACACGUUUCAAUCGUACAUUUUAAUAUGGAGAUACCAUAUAACUCUACCUCAAAUGACGUGAUAUCAGAGUGCAAUAUGCAUGUGCUAGUUUUACAAAAAGUAGUUUGGAGCUAGAAAAUGAGUUUACCUCAAUUGAUAUGUGUUCAAUGAUACAAAUGAAGAGGAUGUAAAUAAGUUUAUUGGACUACCAAAAGGUAACAAAGAAAGACAUAAGAUUAUCGGACUAAGGCGAAGAGGCAAUUGUUUAUAUAAUAAAUAUCCCAUGUAUAAUAAGGAAGGACUCAUAGUUUGUAGAAGACCAACAGAAUCAAGAAAAAA
rnacentral:lncRNA from 1 species